rnacentral:rRNA from 1 species
GACGAACGCUGGCGGCGUGCUUAACACAUGCAAGUCGAGCGGUAAGGCCCUUUCGGGGGUACACGAGCGGCGAACGGGUGAGUAACACGUGGGUGACCUGCCCUCAGCUCUGGGAUAAGCCCGGGAAACUGGGUCUAAUACUGGAUAUGACUCCAUGACGCAUGUUGUGGGGUGGAAAGCCUUGUGCGGCUGAGGAUGGGCCCGCGGCCUAUCAGCUUGUUGGUGGGGGAUGGCCUACCAAGGCGACGACGGGUAGCCGGCCUGAGAGGGCGACCGGCCACACUGGGACUGAGACACGGCCCAGACUCCUACGGGAGGCAGCAGUGGGGAAUCUUGCGCAAUGGGCGAAAGCCUGACGCAGCGACGCCGCGUGAGGGAUGACGGCCUGGUGU